GACGAACGCUGGCGGCGUGCUUAACACAUGCAAGUCGAACGGAAAGGCCCUGCUUUUGUGGGGUGCUCGAGUGGCGAACGGGUGAGUAACACGUGAGUAACCUGCCCUUGACUUUGGGAUAACUUCUGGAAACUGGGGCUAAUACCGGAUAGGAGCUCCUGCUGCAUGGUGGGGGUUGGAAAGUUUCGGCGGUUGGGGAUGGACUCGCGGCUUAUCAGCUUGUUGGUGGGGUAGUGGUUUACCAAGGCUUUGACGGGUAGCCGGCCUGAGAGGGUGACCGGCCACAUUGGGACUGAGAGACGGACCAGAAGGGUACGGGAGGCAGCAGGGGGGAAUAUUGCACAAUGGGCGGAAGCCUGAGGCAGCAACGCCGCGUGCGUGAUGACGGCCUUCGGGUUGUAAACCGCUUUCGCAGGUGACGAAGCGUGAGUGACGGUAAUGGGUAAAGAAGCACCGGCUAACUACGUG
rnacentral:rRNA from 1 species